rnacentral:rRNA from 1 species
AUUGAACGCUGGCGGCAGGCCUAACACAUGCAAGUCGAGCGGAUGAAGGGAGCUUGCUCCUGGAUUCAGCGGCGGACGGGUGAGUAAUGCCUAGGAAUCUGCCUGGUAGUGGGGGAUAACGUCCGGAAACGGGCGCUAAUACCGCAUACGUCCUGAGGGAGAAAGUGGGGGAUCUUCGGACCUCACGCUAUCAGAUGAGCCUAGGUCGGAUUAGCUAGUUGGUGGGGUAAAGGCCUACCAAGGCGACGAUCCGUAACUGGUCUGAGAGGAUGAUCAGUUACACUGGAACUGAGACACGGUCCAGACUCCUACGGGAGGCAGCAGUGGGGAAUAUUGGACAAUGGGCGAAAGCCUGAUCCAGCCAUGCCGCGUGUGUGAAGAAGGUCUUCGGAUUGUAAAGCACUUUAAGUUGGGAGGAAGGGCAGUAAGUUAAUACCUUGCUGCUUUGACGUUACCAACAGAAUAAGCACCGGCUAACUUCGUG